rnacentral:rRNA from 11 species
AGAACGUCGUGAGACAGUUCGGUCUCUAUCUGCUGUGGGCGUUGGAAUACUGAGGAGGGCUGCUCCUAGUACGAGAGGACCGGAGUGGACGAACCUCUGGUGUUCCGGUUGUCACGCCAGUGGCAUUGCCGAGUAGCUAAGUGCGGAAGAGAUAACCGCUGAAAGCAUCUAAGCGGGAAACUAACCUCAAAACCAGGUAUCCCUGAGAGCCGUGCAAGACCAGCACGUCGAUAGGCCGGGUGUGGAAGCGCAGCGAUGCGUG